rnacentral:misc_RNA from 1 species
GACGAACCGUACAAACGUUAUUCGGAAUCACUGGGCUUAAAGAGUGCGUAGGCGGCGCGGAAAGUUGGGUGUGAAACCCCUCGGCUCAACCGAGGAACUGCGCCCAAAACUACCGUGCUCGAGGGAGAUAGAGGUGAGCGGAACUUGGGGUGGAGCGGUGAAAUGCGUUGAGAUCCUAAGGAACACCGGUGGCUAAAGCGGCUCACUGGAUCUCUUCUGACGCGGAGGCACGAAAGCUAGGGUAGCGAACGGG